CUUUUUCCCCCAGCAGCCUCUGGAUGGCCUUGAGGUAGUCAUCAUUUAGUGGCAGACACUUUCACAUGUUGCAGAUCACACAUUCACUGUCAUUGCAGCAUGCAGAGUAAGCAAUGGAAGCAUGUCCGGUCUAUAUGAAUAAAGUAAGGCAUUUUAUGUA